GAGCCGUGGACAUAUGAGGCCUUAGGCAUUGUGUUAGAAUGUUCUAGCUGCUAUAACCAAGUACCACAGACUGGGUAGCUUAAACAACAGAAGUUUAUUCUGCAGAGUUCUGGAGCCUGGAAAGUCUAGGAACAGCGGGCUGGCUGGUGUGAUUCCUGGUGAAAGCUCUCUGCCCAGCUUGCAGAGGGCCACCCUCAUGCUGUGUGCUCAUGCGGCCUUUCCUCGGCGUGUGAUCAGGGAGGCCUCUCUCUCUUCCUCUUCUCAUAAGGCCGCUUGUCCUAUCAGAUCAGAAAAUUUUGGAACUGGAAGAAACUGCAGCGGUCAAAUCAGUACACAUCACUCAACAUAUAAGCUCUCCCUGUUUGGAUACAGCAAACCUAAAAUGAUCUCGAUGAUUGCUUCACGAAUCUCCCGGGAUUACCAUACGUUGUGUGCAAAUGACAGCUUUAAAACAAAACAAAACAGUCCCGCCCUGUUUGGAAGCUUACUGAUACUAAAUGCUACACCAUGGUCAAUAGCCACCUGGGUUUGUUUGCAAGGGAAACCAGACCUCAAGGCCCUGCUGCUUGCAUUUUUAAAGGGACACUGUUCAUGAAAGAAGAUGAAGAUAUAACUAAGCAGUGUUAACAAAAUUGCCUAUCUUAAAUGUUUACACUGAAA